rnacentral:rRNA from 1 species
UAUGUGAUCGUCUCUCGCAUAUCAAUAAGCGGAGGAAAAGAAACUAACAAGGAUUCCCCUAGUAACGGCGAGUGAAGCGGGAAAAGCUCAAAUUUGAAAUCUUAAAGGGUUUCCCUUUACGAAUUGUAGUUUAAAGAAGUGUUUUCUGUUGAGGUUUUGGUAAAAGUUCUUUGGAAUAGGACAUCAUAGAGGGUGAGAAUCCCGUAUUUGACCUUUACUUUCAACUUUGUGAUACACUUUCAAAGAGUCGGAUUGUUUGGGAAUGCAGUCCAAAAUGGGUGGUAAAUUUCAUCUAAAGCUAAAUAUUGGCGAGAGACCGAUAGCGAACAAGUACCGUGAGGGAAAGAUGAAAAGAACUUUGAAAAGAGAGUUAAACAGUACGUGAAAUUGUCAAAAGGGAAGCGUUUGACACCAGUGUUGUUUUUCUGAAAAUCAAUUAAAGAACUGUUUAUGCUAAGUUGUUUAGACUUUAUCAGCUAACUGUUUAGUUUUGAGCUUUUCUUUAAUGCACUUUUCAGUUAACAAGUCAACAGUCAAUUUCUUUUGCUGUAAAAAAGCUUGAGGAAGGUGGCUUGAGAUUCGUCUUAAGUGUUUAUAGCCUCUUGCCUAUGCAGUCGGAGAGAUUGAGGUCUGCAGCGUAGAUCCUUCGGGGCUAAAUGCAUUUGUGACUAAGUUAUAGCAUUUUAUAGACAACUUGUUGACUAUGAUUUGUCUUGUAGCUUACUCGCUUAUGUUAUUUUACCUACGCUUAGGAUGUUGAUCUACAGAGCGAGAGU